CAGUGACGUGUGGUAGGACUUCUUUAGACGGCAGGCCAGAAGGAAGAGAAGAUGCAGAUGUCAAAGGAUGCAGUGAAGAUCACGUAAUGAGUGAGGACUCAGAAUAUUCCAACCCCUUUAAUAAUUACAAUUAACCAGUUACCAGGACCAGACUGCCACUGGACACUGUCUUCCCUGCGAACCUAAAGGCCAGCGAAUACAAAGAGACCAAACUGUCUCAUUUCACUCAAACCAGUAGCUAGC